rnacentral:rRNA from 1 species
AGGUGAACCUGCGGAAAGGAUC